rnacentral:snRNA from 1 species
GAAUGUGAGAGUGAACUGUCUGUGCCAUCUGUCACCCCACUGAUGGCCUGGCUGAUCUGGCUGGCUAGGCAGGUGUCCCCUUGCUCCAUCAUUGCUCCACAUGCUUCCUCUCAAAGCUGCACACUGGGUCAAAGAGGAUGAGCUUCCCUGAAGAAGGAGGAUGAUCUUCCAUCAAGGAUAUAACUGUGCUCCCCUGCUAGAACCUCCAAACAAGGUCUUAGAUUAUGCACUGUCGAAAGGAAUAGCACAAAAAGUGAUGCUGCGUUCUUCUCAUUGCGUCCCCUC